rnacentral:tRNA from 1 species
CGAGGUGUGGCUCAGUUUGGCUAGAGCACCGUGUUAGGGACGCGGGGGCCGCUGGUUCGAAUCCAGUCACCUCGA